rnacentral:lncRNA from 1 species
GCCAUUAUACAACAUUAAAUUAAAUUAACCAACAUUAAAUAACAUUAACCAACAUAAAAAUUAUACAACAUGAAACUUGAACAAUAAUAAAUUAUGUUUGGCCCUCGGUUGGAGACGGUUUUUUGUGAAAGGGCUAAAACGAGCCAUCUGGCCCUCGGUUGGAGACAGAGGCAAAUAUUGUCAUGUACUGUUCAUUAAAAUAUUAAUAUCUUGGAGAAUCUUGGAGGGCCAGAGGGCUAAAACGAGCCUUCUGGCCAGCCAUCAGUUGGAGAUGGCCUUAGAGGUCUCCAAUUUUGGGGACUUUUGGAGAACCCAUUCCUCCAUCCAUAUCCAAGAAGUCAUGGAGCCUAACAAAGUUCCUCCAUCCACAUCCAUGGAGCCAAGGAGCAAGGAGAUAAAGGAAAGAAGGCCCUCACAUGGGUGAAUAUCCUUUACUAAGCAAAGAUGUGCUUCAAAGGUAAAAAAGUUUCUCAACUCCUUUCUUUAAGAUUUGAGUUGAGUUUUGGUUCACCACAACUACUAGGCUUUGAAUUUCAAUGUUUAAGUUUUUUUUUUUUUAAAGUGCAUAGAAACAUGCUUCCACCAUUAAUCGUUAAAUGCAUGUAUUAUGUUGCUUAAUGAAUUUAGUUUUUCCAAAAAUCAAAAUGAGAAUCAAUUCACUUCUAAAUUUUCUCAUGUGUUUAUAACACGUAAGAAAUCGGAAAAGUGUUAACUUCCUCUUAAAAUCCGUAAUCAAAUACGUAAAUAUCAUGGAUCAUAUCAACUAAGGAGAGCUAGUUAGUUGGAUUCAUAUUCUUUAGUUUUCCUAUUUCCAAGCUUUUUUUAUUCCUUCUUUAUUUCAUUUUUUGUUAAGUAAACAUGACCUAAAUUUAUAAUGUGGAGAAAGGAGUGAGGCAGCCAUAAUAGAUGAAAGAGAAAAGUGAUGAAUUUAGGUCAAAUUUAUGGAAGUGAUAUGGUGGUGCACAAAAUCAUUGUUGGAAAGCUGAAUUCAAUAGAAGGGCACCAUAUGUAUUUAAAGGUUUACUAGCAUUUUAACUCAUCACCUUAUUUAUUUAAAAGGUUUACUUGAAAUAUCUUAGGCAUUUAAAAGGUUUAGUUGAAUUCACCACCCUAUUUAUUAUCAUUAGAUAAGUUGAGUAUACCUAUGAUCUUCUAUAUGCUAUAUGCAAAUGAGACCCUUGAAGAGGUUAUAGAAUCCGAAGCUCUAUAUCUAAGUUUAGCUGCGCUUUGUUAUACUUAGCUCAUUGCAUUAGACAUGACAUCUCUUUCGUUGUUGAUCUAUUGGUAAAGAUGCAGCACUGCACUUGCACGCACCCACUAAAUUGGUAUAAGAUGUUUUCCAGUUACCUUGAAGGUACUACAGAUUUGGGCUUAUCCCUAUGCAACCCGAGCGAAUCCAACCCCCUAAUCCUUGGAAUGAUGCUUACUUUCUUUGUUACGAUGAAGCUUGUUACUUAUCAAACUUGCACAAGGCACAUCCCCAAAUGGUUAUGUCUUUAUCCUUAGAUACAUCGCAAUAUCUUGGAGGUUCACGAUAUAGACCCUAGUUGCAAAAUCUUUGAAUCGUUCCAAGAUUCACCUCACUUCACUAUGCCACACUUGAGACAUGGUUGAGAACUUUUGUUAAACAUAUUCAAAGUACCUGUUGUUUUUAUCAAUCGUUGAAUCCCAACGACGAUCCAUGAAGACUAUGCCAUAUGUAUUAACCAGACCAAGACAUGAUACAUCAACGAAGUCAACACAAUGACAUAUUGCGUGUACAUCCUAUUAGCAAAGCAUCAUGAGGAAGUUAAGCAAUCCAAUCUUAGACAACCUUGCAGACCUCUUCACGACGUCACUACCGAAGUCUACCUUCUAGACGCUUGUCCGAGGAAUUGGUAUGCGUAACUAUCUCAUAUGCAAUGCUUGUGGUUCUCAUUGGAAGUUUUGUCAAACUCACGGGGGUGUGCAGAAGUAUACUCACGUGACCUUAAUGUACUAUUUUUUCCUACGAAAAGGACCAUUUUUUCUACUGGGUUUUUACUACUUAACUAGGUUUUAACGAGGCACCCAUCCUGCAUUGGUCAUACCCUUGUGAGUUUUCCUACUUUUGUCCUAUAUGACAUUUAGUUUUGACUUAAUGCAACUUUUCACGUUUCUACUUAGUCCAUGAGUUUUUAUCCCAACUUGGCUUUUACCAUAACGAAUUUUUCUGAGUUUUACCUUUUUAUACAGUUUUCCAUUGAUUUAAGACUCGCAUUCGCUCAUUGUGCCAACAACUUUAUCAAUUGAACUUACUUCAUUGCUGAAGACCUAAUGUGCCAUUUACUUGAGUAUUUACAAACUCAAUGGGGGAGUGUUGCAGUCCUAAUUAUCUUAGGAUUGUGAUUUUGUAAAUCCUAGAAAAUCCUUAUGGGAUUCUACUAGAUAUUAUCAUAUUCGAGUCAUAGUCUUAUUAGGUAAUAACCUUCUAUACUACUAUAAAUAAAGGUACAAUAAAGAUGAGAAAACACACCUCAAAAUUUACCUAUUUCUUUUUUUUUCUACGUUUGCCACACCUCUCUAUUCCUCUAUAACUCUCCGGUUAAAUAAACCGUACAACAAAAAAA